UGUACAUUUCUGUUAACCAGUAGAAAGGCUGAGCCCAGAACUGAACAGCUGGCCUGCCCUUUCUUCUUUAGAUUUUAGAAACUUGACCCUGAACUCCUUUAUCAAUGAAGUCAAACUGCCUAAGAAAUCAUAAAUACCCAGAGAAGUCAUUAUUUAAAAUUACGAAAAUAAAACUAUUCAUGUAUCUUUCACAGAGGAGCCAAGCAAGGUGCUGGGUGACUCUGGAGUCUGUAAUUCCAGGAGUCCUUAAGGGAAGGGGUGGCGUCCUGGCCACCCCAAGGGAAACCCUUGGGGUGAUGUGAUCAAAUUAAAAGGGAAAAGAGACUUUAAUGGAGCACCAUUAAAGGCCAAUAAUGAGAUAGAUUUUAACACGCACAAAGAUUUUGUGCUGAUUUUGAACUUUAGAGCAAGGAACUCUUCAUUUUGCUGAGUCGUCAGUAAAUGAAAUAGGAAAUGAUUCCCAAAUUAAUCCAGACAACAGAGUCAUCUGGAGGAAUUUUGAAAAAAGUUCAGGGUCCCAAGCUAGACCUGAGUUAGAAUUCCUGUGGCCACAGCACAUGUCUGUUUCUAAUAACUGCAUCUGGGGAACCGCAGCACAGUUCUGUGGUCACAUUUCCUCUCUAUUCUUUUGAAAAUGUGUGUGAAUUACUUAGGCAUUCCCUAUGUUUGGGGAAGAAUUCUGGAGUCAUUUGUGAUGUCCAGGGCUUCUUGUAUCACUUCUAUAAAUGGGGACUUGAGGCUCAGAAAGUUUGCGACUUGAUCAGAGCCCUUUAACUACCCUGUUACAGCCAUGGUUCCCAGCCCAUGCUGGGUACUGCAGGGAGCCCAGGCCCUUGCACGAUGUUUUAAAUCUGUCAGUUUUCCAGGGAAACACAAUUAACAUGUAAAUCAUUAGCUGGAGAGGGUUGGCAGGUUUAGUAUAGGACCAAGCUGCCUCCUUUGUGAUGAUACAUUGCUGCCAAACUGGACUUUUAGGUUGUAGUGAUAAAAACCACUAUAGUGGGACGAUUCCUGUGAGACAGAUCUCGAGGGCACCAGUGUCUAAAGCUGGAGAAACUGAAUGGGAACAGGUGUGGUGAUAACACCCGUAAUCCCAGCACUCUGGGAGGCUGAGGCAGGCGGCUAGCAAGUCCAAACCCAGCCUGGAUAAGUUAACAACUAAAGGAGUUCCUCUCUCAAAAUUAAAAAAAGUGAUUUAAAGAGGGCCGAGGCUGUAGCUCAGUGUAAAAGCCUUCGUUCAAUCCCAAGUGCUGGUAAAAACCAGCAAGCAAACAAACCAAGUCACAUGGCCCCAAAGGAUGUAUACAAUCAUUAGUAAGUAGCUACUUCAGCAUAAAACAAAAAUGUUGUCUUUUAUUCUCAACACAUAUAUUAUUUUUAAAAACUGGGUUCUAAUUUUCUAGGACAUAAAUGCUCAUAAACUACUUCAGGUGCUGAACCAUUAGAUAUUUCUUUUGGUACCACAGCCCAGCUGGCACGGAGAAUCACUAAGAUACUAAGGGUACCUUGAAUGAUCUGGGUCACACUGUCUUCUUACCAUUACACCUUUGGUUUCUUGGGUUUAAAGUUAAAAUAAAAAAUCCAAAUUAUCACUUGUCCUCUUUCUGCUGCUCCUGUUACUAACUUCACACUGCUGAAUCCCAGGUGCACGUGGUGAGGAAAGUUUCUGAUGACAGCAGAUUUUUGUUAUAGUAGCACAACAUUUACUUCUCCGGGAUGAGGGUCUUGGGAGAGGUGGGGAGCUGACAGGUCCAUAGAUGCAGAGGUGUUCCUCUGUGUGAUACUGAGGGUCCUUCUAUGAUAGCCUUGCACCUCUGGGUUCUGUGACACAGGCUGGUCUUCCAGAAAUCCUCACCCACAUGCAGGUGAUUCUUGGCAGCUGGAAGUCUUGGGGAACUGGAGCUGUCAUCCAAGAGGCAGACUGGAAGAGGAGGAUGUGUUUGAAAAUGCCAGAGAGAAACCGGAGUUGGUAGACACUCUGGCUGUGUAUAGAGCAGUUUUGCCAGUGACUGGGUCACCACAGGGGAGUAGUCACAGGCAGGUGUCAUGCAGAUCUUCCAAAGGGACAAACAACCACAGAGCCUUGUGUGGAGAGCUCUGGUUCUUCAGCUCACACAGACUUUCCUAAAACAACUCAAUGUUCUGUUCAUCCCUUGAAUUGGUACAAAUAUUCCUUUCCAUUUGCUUAGUACUUUAUAUGCCUAGCAGAUCUAGACUGACUAUUGAAAGCCAACCUCUUUCAACUGUGUCCACCUGCCCAGCUCAACAGGGCUGUCACACCUGUGUCUAACAGAUGUGACUUGCAGAGUUCGGAUGGCACAGCCAGUUGAGGAUGGAGAACACACCAACUCCACUUCUGGCUUGUGAUCUGGCACUUUUCUCCUUAACAUGGCUUGUGAGUUUCUAAAAAUUUUCUAAUAAAGUAAUUAUGAACAUGAAACACUGAUUAUGAACACUGAAGAUGCCAGAGGCCACUAGCCUUCAUCUGUGCUGUCAGCAGCCUGCACUGCAGCUACCCUGAAUGUCUUUUGUUCCACCCUGGGGUCAUCUUCCCCUCCUUACUGGGACUCCCUCCUCUGACCCCAUUCCUAGUCCUGCUUACUGAACAUGUUCUGUGCACCAAGUACCCUGUUGUCUCUGUCUCAGGUUGUCUUAGCUCCAUCCUGAAAUAGGAUCUCUGGUGCGAAAUCCAGCUUUCUGAGCCAUGGCAUUUCCUCAUUCAAACCCUUUCUGCUGAGUGCUCCUCAGGCAGAGGAAGGGAUUUAAUGUGAAGACUCCGUCUGUCUGUCUGGGCUUCAGGGCUGUCCUGGUGAGCAUGCUGGACAGGUGUGCAACUGCGGCAGGGUGGCCGGCUAGUGGUGCUGUGUGGGAGAGGAGUGUGAGGGAAAUGCUCGCACCAUCGGAACACACAGAGAACAAUAAAGCUGAGCCUAGGAGGAAGCACUCAGGGAGUCACCAGUGGAAUAAAUGAUUUUCAAGGGCUGCGGUCAGCAUUCAGUCCCAGCGAGGCCCCCACAGCUGGGACGAGCUGUACUUUUGAUCUGGCCAGGAAAUUGCAUGGAACGGAUUGAGGGUUGCUGUGGAGAAACCAAGAAGGGAUUGUUAGAGAAACAAUAGAGCUCAUUUCACUGCCCUAGACUCCUCACACCUGCUUUUCUCAUGGGGUCCAUCUCCGGGUGGCCGAGCUCCCUAGAGUCACGCAGCCUCAGCCUGACAAGCUAUGGUCAGAGCCGUGCUGCAGGCCUCGGGAGUCUUCUCAGCCAUGGGAAGCUGCAGCACACCUGCAGUCUCUGGCCCGAGGAUAACUAAGCCAGGGAAAGAGCUCAGCUGACCGACUUUACGCGCAUGGCCACACCUGACACAGGGGUGCAGGUAAAUAGCCCCACACAUGGUGCUGCCACACCCAUGGUGACGGUAGCUACAGGACGUGAGAUAUUAUUUCCAUAAAAGAGGAGGGAGGGGAAGCAGGUGUCCUGCCCUGUCAGGUGUCUUGCAGGAGGUGUUCCUCCCUCCCGCCAGCACAGGGUGACCUUCUGUGCCGGGCAGGUGGAAGUGCAUACAGGUAGAGAAGAUAGAUAAUUUGGCUGCUGGGAUUAGGAAUUCGAGCUGACUUCCUGUUUCUAUAUGCCUGAGUGUCUUCAGAGCUUGAUGAGUCUUCAGGACAGAGAUUUGCUCUUGAGAGAAGCACUGAUAUGAACCAGUUCCACAUCAGCGUGGGGAAGACACGGAUCCUAAUCAUACAGGGAGAAUGUCGGCAAGAUCCCCACCAUGAGCUGUUUCUCCUGGGCGAGGCCCCUCUGCCAUGCUGCCCAUGCUGCUUUGCAGAAUCUGGAAACUGAAUGAUCCAUUUCCUCCUCACCCUGCUUUCGUGGCUUUUAUUGGUUACCGGCCAAAAUGACCAUGAAAGGAAAUGUUUCGAAUCCAUUCAGGACAUGGAAGCAGCCAGGACAGUGCAACUAAAGACCCUCAGGAAAGAGGACUCCAGAGCUGCUGCAGAGAGUGGCAAGGGUGAUGGGGCUGCCUGUUCCUGUUGGCCCCACCAAGUUGUAACUUUCCUGGAUGCUGGGAAACCACAGUCUGAAGCUCAAGCCUCUGCAGCAGCAGCAGGAGAAGGUUCUAGAACCAGGACACACACCCAGGGAAAUUCCCUUGGCUAUAUAGGUACUUUGGAGUACAAGUGUGUUUCUGGAAAGAAUGAUGCUUGCAAACCAGGAUUGGAGCAAAUCUGUUCACUUCAUGUCAGGUUAAAGAAGUCAAUCUCUGUGUUUUUAAUCAGACCUUACCAUUCAGGUAACUUUGAAACCCUCCUUAAAACUUGAGAAUUUAGUGCAAUUCGUCCCUGCUGCUUUCUGCAGGAGUUAUGUCCCUCUCUACACCAUGUUGUCUCCUCUGUUGGGAAAGGUGAGGUUGGGGGAGGAGAGGCAGCUCUGAAGCCUUGAAAGGAGGCAAAAGGCUGGAGCCUGGUUCAAGCCUGUCAUCCCAGCACUCUGGGAGGCUGAGGCAGGAAGUGGCAAGUUGGAGCCCAGCCUGGGUAACUUAGCAAUUGAGAGACACCCUCUCUCUUGAAGGAGAAAAUAAAAAGAGAACUGAAGAUGUGAUUCAGAAUGAGGUAGAUUUUGAAGGAGAUUAAUGCCAAUAAUAAUUUAAUAUAAUAAUUUAAAAAUGUAAAUAUUAAUUGUAUAGGGGGCUGGGGAUUUAGCUCAGCAGGCAUAAGCACCUGCCUUGCAACUGUGUGGUAGUGAGUUCGAUCUCCGGUACCGAUAAAAAAGGAAAAGACAAAAAUAUUAAUUGUAUAGUUCAGUCAUAUAUUGUACCUUGCUAACCUUGUACCUUUUAAAACAUUUUUUAAUUGAGUCGAGGUCUUGCUAUGUCGUUCAGAUUGACCUUGAACUCACUAUGUAGUUCAGGCUGACCUCAAAUUCCCAGCAGUGUUCCUGCCUCAGCCACCAUGCUAGGAUCCAUCUUGGAUUGAAAUGCCCUUUCUGAGAUUAUAUGGAAGUGUGUCCUAGGACUCUGUCUAAAAGCGCAUGUCUUACUCAUGGGUAACAUAACAAAGAAGUGGUGGCUUCAAUACUUCUCCUUGUACUGGGCACACAAUGGGUACAAUUUCUCCCAUUCACAAAAGUUAGGCUUGGAAUAGCAACCCUGUCAUUCCACCACCCUUCAGCCCUGCAUACCCCAUGAGUUCUCUGAUAUGUUUCAUACAGUGUGGAUGGGUCUGAAAUGGCUUUGCAUUAACCCGGAAGUCAGUGAGCAGGGAGAGCUGCAGCUGGGGAACCCCGUCAGGAUUCAGCUGUGCUCUUUAGGAAGUGCUAUAGCCCUGGUGACUCAGACACCUCGUUCAUGAUUCUGAGAUAAGCGUGAUGUUGGGUUACACAAGAUUCCUCAGAGCAGGGAUUCACAUCUGAUGGGCCGUGGGCUCGUCACUGCCAGAGCCUGUUAGGAGCUUGACCUUUUCUCUGCAUUUCCAGUCACUCUGUGUCUCCAUCAGCACUGAGCCCCACUUCCUGUAAGGUCUGAGGGCCUUAGAGUCUCAUCCCAGCCUAGCCCCUGCUGAGCACUGCGCACUGGAGAAAUCUAGGUUGUUGCUUCUGAGUCAUUCCAGAUACACACAUCUCACCCCACUCCUGUCCAUGGAAAGAUCUGUCUUGCACAGAGCACCAAAAAUGUUGUCUUAAAGGGUGUAGUUCUCAGGGUGGAACUUAACAAGAUGUAUCAUGGGAACUACUGACUGGAAGACGAAGUGUGGAAGAUAAGGAGAAAAGAACAGAUUCAAACACUAUUUUUGGAAAACUUGUUAUGAAAGAGCUGGGUGUGUUGGUGCACACCUGUAAUCCCAGCACUACAGGAGACUGAAGCAAGGGGACUGCAGUUCUAAUCCACUCUGGGCUAUUUUGUAGUUUAACAAGUCCCUGCUUCAAAGUUCAAAUAAGUAAAUUAAAUAAACAAAUACAUAGGGUUAGGGAGUUAGCUCAGUAUAAAGACCCUGGGUUCAGUCUCCAGUAUAGCAAGAGAGAGAGAGAGAGACAGAGAGAGAGAGAGAGACAGAGAUAUCAUAAUGUCACAAAUUUAAAAUAAGCAAACAAAAUGUGAGUAUACUUUUUAUUUUUGGUUGGAGGCAUAUGAGAGGAAGAAAUAACUUUUUUUCCAAUCUACAGUAACAGGUUCCUUAAAUAAGAGUCUGUCAUGGACUUCACCAUGGGUCAUGCAAUGUCUCCCAUGAAGCAAAUUGAAAUAGACAUUCCCGCUUAAUACCCCACACUCAGACAGUUGUUAUUUCAGCUUGACGAGGUUGUCUGCCACAAGAUGAGAGGCCUCCAAGACAUUAAACCAAAUAAGGAACCUUUGCAGGAGCAGCUGACCCUCCCUAGGUUCCUCUCCUGGCCUGGUCCCUUAUCUCUGCUCCCCUCUCCUGCGGUUCCAGUAGGAUGCGGCAUAGGGACACAGCGUCUGAGACGGUGGCUUCCUGAACUGCCCCUUAUGUCGGAAACUUGCACUAAACAUUUCUAGGCUGCAUCACAUCUAUGUCACAAUCAACAUGAAGCAGGGUUGCUAUCUCUGUUUCACAGUUGAAGAGGUUCAGGGAUGUUAACUGUCUAACAUGCACCAAGUGAAGCCUGGAAUUCAAAACAAAGUUUUUUCAAUUUGAAAAUUCAUUUAAAAUUUAUAUAGCUGUUUCCUUGGAAGGACAGAAAUUUAAUUAAUUAAUUUUGAGACAAGGUCUCACUACACUAUUUAGGGGCUGGGCUUGAACUCACUGUGUGUAGCCCAGGUUGGCCUUGAACUCAUGGCCUUCCUCCUGCCUCAGCCUCCGGAGUGCUGUAUUACAGGCAUGUGCCACUAUGCCUGGCUGGAAAUUUUAAAUUGAGCAUGAACAAUGUCGUAAGUAAUAUUCCAUGAUGACCAACUAUUGCCAAUGAGCCUCUUCAAGACUUAGGAAUGAACUGCACUACCUUGGGCUUUACACCUGCAAGGUGAAGAAUUCUGGGUCCUGUCACCUUUUUUUUUUUUUAGCACUCUUUUUUCUCUGCCUUUCAUUUCCUUCCCUUUAAACUGCUAAGCUGAGGUGGUGGCGGCAGUCCCGUCUUUCUCUCCUGCCUCUUUCCUGGGCCUCUGGCACUUCUGUACUCCCGGCUUCUUCAGCUCUGAGACUGGAAUGCAUGAGAGAUGGUGAAGGCCCUGGGCUCCCAGGCCUUCUUCUCCCUGACUCAGAGCCCUCUGUGUCUGUUUCCUUUAUAACUGCCAGGACCUCAGCUGUACGUACUGGAGGAAUGGUGAAAAGCACGUCCACCCCACCUUCCUGAGAGCAGAAAUCCCAACUUGUGUUUUUAAGCCUCAUUAAUGUGACUGCAGCCAGGUGUGUUGGCACAAGCCUUUGAUCCCAGUGCUCAGGGACUCGGAGGCCUGAAGACCACCAGUUUGAGGCAGACCCAGGCAACCUAGAGACUUAGGGAGACCCUGUCUCAAAAUAAAAAGGAGCUGGGAUGUGGCUCAGUGUGAAGGCCCUGGGUUCAAUCCUCAGUACUGCAAAAUAUGAUAAAAGUAAAAUAAAACAUGAAAAAAAUCAAAUUUUUGUGGCUAGCCCUAUUGGUAGGGCAUUGUUGCUGAUUUACUCUGAGCUCAAACUAUGUGUUCCAGUCGCCUCCUUCCUGCCUGACCCUGCGUCCCUUCCCAUGGCUGUUAAACAGCUCCAUCUCCUCCUGUGGGCCAUGCCAGCUGCCUGCCCGGCAGCCUUCUCUGUCUGGUUUUCCAACUGCCCGGCUUCAGGACCCUCCUACACCAGCAGAGAGCACAAGAAAAGGUCCCAGAAUUGCCCCAGUGUGGAUGCUUAGGUCUUUGCAGGACAUAAAUGUCAAAUCUGUAUUAAUGCAGGCUUUGAAGCAUUUUUCCUGGUUUCCCAUUUGCCCUAAAAUGUUUCUUGUAUUACCGUUAUAUAAACAAACAUAUUUACAUAAAUCCUACAUUUGAAGUUGAAUAUAUAAGUUUUCCUUUAUGUGUAUUUUCUGUCAUUCUGGCUUAUUUAGAAAGACUUAUAAAGCUUAAAAAUAUCACACUUUCUUCUAGCAUUUUUUGUUUUGAUUUUUCCUUUUAUUAUUUCUUUUUGAUGCACUAAACUUUUUCUCCUGCUCACCUUUGUGUCCCCCUGUGAUUGUUUCAUUAUUUUGACUAUUUCAUUAAUUUGAGAUUGUUGGAAACAAUUUUCAAGUAUGAAGGAAACUAAAGAUCCUGAGUUCUUCUUCUAUUUACCAAACAGUGCAUUCUAUGUCAUUUACCAGUUGACUGGCAAGCCCACUUGUUUUUCACACACUGAAUUCUUAUUUUCACUUGAGAUGGUUUCUGGAUUAAAUUGUAGCAUCAGCACUCUCCUUUACACCUCUGUUCUGAGCUGAUCAUGGGGUCCUUCAUGAAUGCUUCAGUGUUAAUGCCAUUCUCCACUUCUCACUGCUGACAGUGAGAUUAUCUAUUCUCCUCCCAUCACUUUAUUUUAUCUGUUUCUCAAAGAUGUUGUCCUGAGAUCUUGAAGUCCUGGAACAGCAGAGCUAGAAACCUUAGAAUCAUGUCUUUCCAGAAGACAGAAGCCCCUCUUUUUUGGGGGUCAGAGGGAAAAGGUGCCCUCUUGCCUCUGCCAUUUAUGUGUGUAGUGGUCCGCCAUCUUGGUUAUCUGUCAGUGACUUGGGCAGGAAGCCACCAACUGGAGUGAGGUUUUGUAGCAUCUUGGGAAACGCUCUUGCUUUGAUCUACAGUGAUACCCAUCCUAGUAGCAGUUAGUUUAUAAGUCAGAGGCAUUGAAGUCCUAUGUUUGUAAUGAGAAGACUUUGAAUUUCUUCAAAUUUCAAUUUCAUUAUUGUUAAGAAUAGAGAUGAUAAUACUUUCAUUGUAGGACCAGUGUUGUGAUUAGCACACACACUUAACAUAUAUGUAUGUAUAAUGUAUGUGAUCAUACAUGUAUAUAACAUAUACAAGGUCUGCCCAAAAAGCAUACACACAUCAGGAAAAGAAAAAUGUGUAUGGAUAUUUUAAUAUUAAAAGCUACUUUUGGCCUCUACAAUUACAAUAGGUGCUCAAAGUGGUAGACAGUAGAUUCCAGACAUUUUUUUUCUGUAGUGUGUAUACUUAUUUUUGUCAGACUCUCUCUGUCUCUUUCUCUCUCUAUAUAUAUAUAUGUAUAUUCUCUCUCUCUCUCUCUCUCUCUAUAUAUAUAUAUAUAUAUAUACAUAUAUGUAUACUAUAUAAUGUAUCUAUCAUGCAGGCCUGUGCACUUGAUAUAUAAUUGAACUUCAAUACAUUAUUGUUGGUUAUUGAUUUACAAAAAUAGAAGCUAUUUUGGGAGGCAAGAAGUCAACCACUAAACCACUAGCGCCUUCUGUGAGGGUGCAGACUGUGUGGUGCCUAUGAGGUUUGAAAGGACACAUUUAGAAUCUGGAUCUCAAUUGCUUAUACUAGAUUUUGGAGAUAUUAAACUGGAGGGAACUAGAAUUUUACUUAUUUUUAUGAUACCUGAAUCUGGAGGCUAGAGUGAUAACAUGGAUCCUACUCCUUAGUUCAAACAAGUUACUAUGAUUAGUAAAGAAAAAUUGUGGAGUACAACUUUCUAGUGUUUUUUUUUUUUAUUAAGAGGAUGCAUGUUGGUGUUUAGUAAAGUAUAACACUCUCAUUAUAUUAUAAUCAGUAACAAACAACUGAAAGUUCAAUUAACCUUCAAAUGGUGGCUAAAGCUCCAAAUUUCUGUAAGAAAAAUAAAAGAUAUAAUAGGUAAAGUUGGGCCAAAGUCAAUCAGAUAAUGAGAGGUCCAUCAAAGUCUUAGGUGGUCAGCUCUGUCCCUGCAGUUAUUGAGCUCUGUACUGGGGACGCUCUGAGGUUUCCUAGCACAGAGACUGUUCUGUGUCUUCUUCCCCCAUCUGGUCUCCCUGUCCAGAGAAGCAGGAGACCCCGCUAUGAACAAGGCAGGGCUCAAUCUUUCAAGCUUGUGUUCAAGCCUGCUGAGCAAUCUUCAAGCAAAGUAGUACUUAGAACCUAUAGUGCUCAGAAUCCGGUCAGCAGCAGGAAGUCUGGCUUUGGCUUCUAGGGAUGGGAGUUUGUUUAGGUGAAAGGAACUGAAUUAAAGAGCUUCCCUGAGGAGAGCUGAAAAUCAGUGCAGAGGGAAAGGUGGCCAUGGCAGGGAAAGGCAGCAAGUAAGAUUGCAGAGCUAAGCAAGCCAGGGGGGGAGGGGCGCUCUGAGCUCUUCUCCAGGAGCGUGCUGGGAGUGAAGCAGAGAGGGAAGAUCACCAUGCCUGAUGAGAUGGCUGCCCACUGAUCACCAUGUAACAGGAAAACAAGGAAGUUGGUGUCUAAGCACUGAGGUGAGGUAACACUUCAGUCCAAGAGCUGCUUUCGAAUCCUGAGUUGGGCACUCACCAGCGAUGGCCCAGGGCAAGAUCUGAAUUGCCAGAUGGUACAGCGACCUUCCAGCCUUUGGCUUGAAAAUCACCAGCCACUUGCCUAAACCAUCAGGGUGGCUGCCACCAGGGAAGGAAAGAGACUGGGGUCUCCAGUCUGACUUUGUCUCCACUAUCUACCAGCUGUUGGAUAUGAGUUCUUUGGUCUGUGUUUCCUGAAAUGAAAUGGAGCAAAAGGAAGUACUUAGCUCAUGGUGUGGCUGUAAAGAUUAUGGUGACAUUGACUACGUCCUUGGUGCCUCGCAUCUGACAGUAUCACUGUAUGAAGCACAGCCAGCAUCACGAUCAGGCAGUGUGAUUCCUGCUCUUUGAGGGACUCCAUGGUCCCGAGGGAAUACUGUGUGGGACUCACAGAUGGGGAAAGGGGGCUGGGCGAGAAUCAGCAGCUGCCUCUGUUCAGGGACCUGGAGCCAUACCUCUCCUGGGGCUUCAUCUGCUUGCUCUGAGGCAGAGCUGGGGUGUGCAUGCCCUUCUCCUGCAGGACUGGCUCUCAGCACCGCCGCUGCUAGGCUGCCAAGGUAAAGUCUAACUGAUUAACUAACUCUUUGUCUGCAGGGCUUGAUUUAUUAUGGUCAAGGCCGACAGAUACUCAGACACCUGUCCUUGAACCGCUGUUAAGAAUAUUUGAGCAAGUAGAUAGCUCAGAGCAUGCAGGGGUGGAGGAGUCAAUCUCCCCUUGUCAGGAUUGCUAUCUAGAUGCCAAGAGCCUCAAGUGCGUACAGGUGGGGCUUUGGGAAGGGGCUGGGGCGAUGGGCGGUUAGGGCUGACUUGCUGUGAGGAGGUAGGGCUCGCUCAGCUGGAAGAGGUGGUCAGUAGGACGUGUCCUGGGAGGGUUUAUCUCCCUCCCCAUGCCCUUUCUUCCCUCUCUGCUUCCCGUGUGCAGUGCACAGGGGAGCUCUCCUCUGCCAGGCCCCUGUGCCAUGCCGCCCUGCCUUGGAGCAGCCAACCACAGGCUGCAAUAUGAGCCACAAUAAACCUCCUCUUCCUCAAAUUGUAAAUCCUGGGUAUUUGUCUCACUGAUGUGGGAAGUAACUAAGGCACAACUGAUCAAGGAAGGCAGGACUGGCAGUGAUGGUACACAUCUCUCAACCCAGCACUCCAGGAGGCUGAAGCAGGAGGAUCACGAGUUUGAGCCCCGCUUGCACAAUUCAGUGAGAGAUUGUCUCAGAAUAAAACAUUAAAAAGGACUGGGGAUGUAGCUCCAUGGGAAAGCCCUGGGUCCCACCCCAGGACGGAAAUAAAAACAUUUUAAAAAGAGAGAUAUAGAAAGUAAGUCCUGGUAUCUGCAAAUAGCAAGAGAGGAUGGCGCCUUCUCUCGCUAAUUGUUUAAAAGCAGUCAGAUUAAAUUCAGAUUGCUUUGUGUCUAGUUAGAAGUCAUGCUUCUAAUUUAGUUGUAUAGUGUUAGGGCUUAGCGCUAAAGUAUCCUCCAAAAGCCCCAUAUGUGUAGUAAUGGGGCCUUUGGAGUGGAGUAAGUCACCGAUGAAUUUAUAGCUAACUGUGCUGUUAAGAAGUGGAUCCUAAUUGGGCGAGGUGGACCCCUGGACGGGUGCAUUUUGCUCCUUGGCUCCUCCCUUCACUCUCUGCUUCCUAUGAGCCAAAUCGUGAGCAGCUUUCCCCUGCCAUGACCUCUCAUUGCGCUAUUUACGCUUGGAGCCAGUUGAGCAGGGACUGAAUCCCCCAAAACCUUUACUCCUUUUAAUUUUGUUCUCAAGUAUUUUAUCCUAGAGGAAAGCGACUGAUAAAUACAGCACAAUAUUUGCCAUUCACUACCAUUUUACUGCCUCAAAAGAUUGACAAACAAUUUAAGUACCCAAGAGUUGGAGAAUAAACAUAUUGUGAUUUAUUCCCUCAAAGGGCAUUUGAUAGGUUGGGGAGAUAUAAUGUUGAAGAUAUAAUGCUAACAGGAAUAUUACGUUACAAGAUAAACACAAAAUUGUAUGCAGUAUAAUUCCAAUGUAGCUUUAAAAGAAAAGAACCAAAGACAUUUUUUUCAUUUCUAUUGUACAUUUUAAUACAUUUUUUACAUGAACAAGAAUAAUUUUUAUAAGCAGCAAUGUACACAGAGAGAGCUUUAUUGAAAAAAAUCAGAAUCCUCUGGAUUUUUCUCAAAUAUCGACCUCUUUCCAUUCAUUCACACAUUCAUGAAUUCCUUUGUCCUGGAUUCGGUCAACACAAAAUGACUGAGUGUCUCUGGGGCUAGAGUUUCUGAUCCCUAAAAUAUUCCUUAGUUCCUGCAAUACUCAUCUUGUUCUCCACCACACUUGUUUGGAAGUGCUGAAUUACAGUGUGGAACAGUUUGUCACAAUAUUACUGUUAGUGCACUGCAAAAAUUACAGUGCGUGCCUUGUUCUUUUCCCUGUGCUAAUUUCCCGGCUUGGGGCUUACAGCUGAUGGUGAAUUAACACAGAUGCCGAGCCAGGGCAGCCUUGGGCCACCCUGGCUGGGAUGCGUGUCCAGGAAGGAGUCCCGUUUCCUGAGGAUGCAGUGCAACACAGAGUAUCACGUGUGGGCUGGAGUCUGAGGUUGCUUUGAUGAGGGAUCCGUUUUGCUUUUAGCAUCACAACGUGCAGGCUGAGGCAGCCAGUUAGCCUGCUCUUAGGAAACAGCACCCAUCAUCUUCAGGAUGUAAUAAUGGUGUAAAAAGUCACAGGCAGACCAUGUCAGUGUCUCGCCGUAUGGCGGGCCCUGGACUGCCUUCCUGGUCCCUACACUUGUGUCUCUUUUUAGCACUCAGUUCUGACUCUUGAAUAGCAUCCUGAAGUCUCUGUUGUUUGUGGUAUUGACGGAGCCUUUUACCUUUCAUGACAUCCAUUCAUUUUUAGUGCUUCUUAUAAUUCACCAAAGUGUAAGAGUGUGGGAAAGGGACAUUUUUCACAGUGAUGGAAAUUUGCGCUGUUCUCUGUGCUCUGGGUUUUGUAGGGUAAUUUUGAAAGUCAUAAGUCUUGGGGAAGAAAGGCUUCCGUAAGCCUCUUGGGAAAUCUCUUUUGUUACAUGUGAAUUGUUAUCUGGAAUAACUGAAAGACUCAAACAUCCUCUGAAUUAGAGAGCUGAGUAAUAUUACUUUGUUAUUCCAUUGCUGAGGGGACUGUUGAAGGAAAUGUAUUUUAUCAGAAAUGUGAUUUUUUAACAAAGUUUUUCCCUAAGAAAAAUACAAUAGUCUUGUAAAGAUUGUAAAGUUAUAAAACAUUUUAAAAAUAAAAAUCACCAAUCAUUCCCCUAGACACGAUCGCUGGUAAAUAGAUAAACAGAUAUACGUGUACAUAUUUAAACCCAAGUACUUACAUGUCCAUAUUGUGUAAUUCUAUUUAUGUGACGUGACUUCAACUGGGCGUUUAUAGAAUGUCUUACACUUAUCAUUGUCAUAGCUUCUGUUUUUAAAUAUAAACCUAUGCACUUCAUUUUACAAACCUCAUUGUGUUGGGUGUAUAAUUUUUCUAUUGCAUGUUUAUGAUGGUGAUAUGUUUGCAUUUAAAAAUUCCCUUUUGGUAUAAAAUUGCAGAAUCUUGCUCUUUCUACCUACACUAGCUUCGUACCGCUAUAGGAAGAGAUUGGUUAGACCGAUUCCCUGAGCUAACAUUCUGGCCAGCAGUGAGCCUCACAUAGUUCCACCCCACCCAAAAUAGAGACAGAGAGCAGUUGUUCUGCCGGUGUAAACACAGGGUCGGAACCAAGGCCCUGAGCUCUGCUAACUGGUUCUUUUUCAAAUCAACCCAUUGAGCAGCUAGGAGUGAAUGUGAGGAAAGGAAGCAGCAGUUCUAUAUUCUUGUGCAGCAUUCAGGCUACAAUCAGAGAUAAGCAGGCAUGCAGGAAGGGCCGUGGCUCUGCACAGAGAUUAUUCAACCACGAUAGAGUGUUGUCAUCUCUAACGGAAUACAGAGGAACUCAUCGCACUUCGUGAAAGACUUUUCGUUCACAUGCUCAUCAAAAAUCUUGUGAUUGACUUCAAUUCCCAGCAUGAAGACAAAACAAAACUCUUGUGAAAGAACAAAGGACACGGCUGUGUCAGGACUGGAUUCGUGACUCUGACUUCCCAGGAGGACUCUCUUAGUGACCGUUCUUUCCUUGCUGAAGUAAAAUAUCUGACACCCAAAAUUAAACAGUGCCAGCAUUCAAUGGCAUGAGACAGACAUUUCCAUCCAAAAGUUACAAACAAGGAAACAAAGGAACGGGAAUAAACAAGACCAAAAUCCAACAAGCAAACAUUAAACCCCACAUCCCUGGCAAUCUGAGGCAAGAUGUGAACCCCAAAGGGCUUGGAUGGCUUUGCUUCCCGGUGGUGGGUGAAGCUUCUGUGGGUUCUUUCUAGUCUUUUCAGAGACCAGUUUCUCUUUUCUUCCAGUUUUGCAGGCCCCAAGGUUAUUGGAACUCCUUUCUGGCCAGACUCAAAAUGUUUUAUAACAUGCUGCUGGGUUCUUUGCUCUUGACUCUCAACAUCAAUCCGGUGAGAAGCCCCCAACAUUAGCCUGCCUUGAAAUGUCUUCUGCCAGAUUAAUCAGUCUGCUGACCUUAGUCUCAGUCUCAGGCAAAGUCUCUGGACAUGAGCAAACUGCAGACGAACUUUCUGUCAAGCCAUAACACACGUCCCCUGGAGUUUAGUAGGCAAUGCAGUGCUCCUUCCCAGCAGAAACUCCCGCGCCUGCUCUUUCUGCCAGCCUUCUGGGCUUCUGAACUCUGACUAGCAUGGCUUAAGCUGUUCCAGCUCUACUUUUUCAGCCCGUCUUUCUGAAACUUUCCAAACCCUUCUCACAAGCCAUUUCUAAAGGCUCCUGAACCACAUGGUCAGGCACAAUCACAGCAACAACCUCACUCUUGGAACCAAAUUCUUAGUUACUUUUUCCUUGUACCUUCUGCCGGACAUGAGCUAUUUCUCUUCUGUGAUGCCUCUUGGUUGUGUGCUACCUCACCUUAGAGCUGCCAGUGAUGGACUGAAACCUCUCCAAAUUGAGCUAAAUAAACCUUUCUCCUUUAACUUUGGGUAUUGGGUAUUUUGUCUCAGUAACGAGGAAAGUAACUCAGACAAUAACCAAGCAC